GACGAACGCUGGCGGCGUGCUUAACACAUGCAAGUCGAACGGUGAAAGAAGAUCUUGCUCUUCUGGAUCAGUGGCGAACGGGUGAGUAAAACGUGAGUAACCUGCCCCAGACUCUGGAAUAAGCGCUGGAAACGGCGUCUAAUACCGGAUACGCGACAGAGCUGCAUGGCUACUGUCUGGAAAGUUUUUCGGUCUGGGAUGGACUCGCGGCCUACCAGCUUGUUGGUGAGGUAAGGGCUGACCAAGGCAACGAAGGGUAGGCCGCCCGGGGGGGCGACCGGCCAAACUGGGACUGGGACACGGCCCAGACUCCUACCGGAGGCAGGAGGGGGGAAUAUUGCACAAUGGGCGAAAGGCUGGUGCAGCGACGCCGCGUGAGGGAAUACGGCCUUCGGGUUGUAAACCUCUUUCAGCAGGGAAGAAGCGAAAGUGACGGUACCUGCAGAAGAAGACCCGGCUAACUACGGU
rnacentral:rRNA from 1 species